UAUGAUUCAGUGGAAUCUGUUCCACUUGAGGUGCUCGAAUCAUCGCACUAUUUGGAUAACAACAUUUUUGGGGAAUUCCUUAAAUGAACCAAACAUUGAAACCAACAUUAAUGGGUCGUUGACACAGACAUUUAUAGAUAAUUGCUAUACACUUAAGUCACGCAAUUGAUGUUCUCCGACGAUAUAAUGCGAUCAAACCAGACUGACUGCAGCUGUCAUGUGGAAACCGGGAAGGCCCCUCCUUUCGGUAACUUGUCCUCUCCGUUCAAUCCGAACUCACACGAAGCAUGUCCCGCAGCGAUAUAGCCCCAGUCAUGCAGAGGCAAAACGAAAGCGAUGAGAUCCAGCAGUGACGGAAGUUUAAUUCCAAUGGACUAUGAGCGUUUCAAUGUCUUAAAGACGAGGAAAGCAUUCGAGUCAAUACAACAACUGACCACCAAACUGAUUCACGUGGACAAUCAAUAGGAUAGCAUGCAUUUCCAUCUGUCCAUCUUGAAACGAGUUUGUAGUGACGGCUUCGGUCUGCAUGCGAAUAUGGCUCAAAAAUGACCAAUGCAUCGUCUUGGUACUCCUGUUUUGAUGCUUAUUAUACUACCUCUUGCGUGUUCCUGUGAAAGUGGCCACAAUAAAAACCAGAUCACCGAGGAUUACCGCAAUAUCAUUAGGAUACAGCUGAAGCACGUUGAGGCCAUUAAUGAACAACUAAAUUCAAACUGCACAAUAAGAAAUGUCAGCAUGUCGGAGCCAAAAAAUGCACAACAGUCCAUCCACAGAAAAAUCUGCAGGGUUAACGGAAAACUGAGGAGAAUCGGGAGGGAAUCAGAGAAUGUAAAUGGACAACUAAAAGAUGUUUUAUAUAAACUUGUGGAAGAAAUAAAUGCGUCCUUGAGAUGUUGGUGCCAUCAGAAGAGGGAGGGGACAAAAAAUCCAAAACAGCAAAUACGAAAGUGGAAGAUUUGCAGAGUGAAAGACAUUCUUGCCAAAUUACAGAGACAAUUUGAGCAAUACAAUGCGUAUCUGUCCCUCAGCACAGACCUUCCAGAGCGUGGGAAGACUUCAGAGCAAACCGUUAUAUAAUACUUGGCCUCCAUCCAUCUCUACUACAACAAAUUAAUGUACAGAAUAUGAAGUAACUGGACUAACCAUGUACCUUUCACACUAUUCAGUAUUUGUCUGAAGACAAACAAUGCUUUUUAUGGGAAAAUACAUGCUAAGCAUAAACAUGAAAAAUACUACUAUGCAUGAAAAUGUUUCAAAACUUUGUACUUUGUAUUGUUAUUUUUGCUAUUGAUUGCUGAACGAGUAGAGUUUAACUGUACAUUGCUGUGACACAAAGUUGGCGUCAAAGCCUAUAUUAUAUUAAUUCUCUAGGCCUCAAGUUAGAACUUUAUAAUCUACACAUACUUCUUAUUUGGGGAAGCGACCCUAUUCAGCCCACCCAAUUCCAAAUCUUAUACGUUUUUUCAAUUAAUUCUGAGAAAGCCGAAGUUUAAGCUCUCAUUGAAACACUUGUUUUUUUCAAACAAAAUUGAAUUGCUUUAUUUAAUUGCAAACCUCUGAAAUGGGCAUAUAAGUACACAUAUAUAAUUCCAGCACCUAUUUAACAAUAACCAAACAACUUUUUAUAUGGCUGUUUCUUUAGAAACCGUUUUUAAGAAAGUCAGCAGAUUUAUCUUUUCUUUGGUUCAUCUAUCAGGACCCAGUUUUUCACUGUUAGUUUCAGGUUUUUCUUUUCAACUCCAUUUUUUUUAUGUUGUUUUGACAAAGCAGCACGUUUGUGAACCUUCCCUUAUUUUUAGGCCAGUAUUUCCAGUUCGGGGAGGCAUAACAACUGUAGCAAUUGUUGGGCCCAAUAUAAAACUUUCAAUACGGGUCCCCCAGUAAUCUGGAUCACAUUCCGUACCCCUUUUGCAGUAGCAAGUCUUGACUUUUUUUUUUUUUUACCCAGCAUACAAUGACAAAUAUUGUAAGUAGGUAAAGUUAAUGAACUGGAUGUGCUCCAAACGCAGUGAAUUUAGUUAAUGCUUUUUAUAUGUGGUUCCUAGUUUUGUGGGUUAUCAAUAGAACCAUUCCUUAUAAAGCCUCUUGAAAAGAAUCAUAUUUAUGUAUUAUAAUAACAGACAAAACAUUAAACUUUGUCUUUGACACAAAUGGUUCCAUUUAAUGUGGUUGUCCACAGUUUUUACUGUUUUUCUUUCUACCACAUCUAUCUUUGUGAGCAAAACUCUGCAUUCCACACUAACUACAGAGGCUCAAGAUUUUCAGACACAGAAUAUUGCUUUUAAAUACCAAGAAAAUCAUAUCCGGUUGCUUUUUAUUUAUUUUAUUUAAACUGCCUUUUUACAGAUUUUUAAUGCUACUUCUACAGUGAAUGAAAGACAUUAGCAGUAAAACAAGCUGUCUAUCAUUCUUAUAUUUAAAAAAAAUAAACAGGUGGGCUUAUAUGGUACAUGAGCUUUAUAGGGUCUCUUCUCCUGUAUAAAUAACUAUCUGUUCACUUCUCCCUGCUUUCAUAUUACACAAAUAUAUAUGCUUUUAUAUAUAACGGUACAGAACUCUAUUUUUUUUUCCAGAACCUUUGACAUUAAUGGUGAUUUUUAAAAAUAUUUUUGUAGUGCUGUGUAACAUCAAAAUUCCACUUUCAUUUUCCGUUUUCUGUGUAACAUCAUGCCAGUAGCUGCAAGGAAAAUAUUGGGUUCAUAAAGAGAAAAUAAAAUAUGGAACAGAACCAUGUUAAAAAACAAACAAACAAAAAAAACCCUCAAAUCUAGGGCUGUCAAUCAAUGCUUUAAUGAAUAACUACAUAAAUUGCAUACAGUAUAUCAAUAUUUGUUAAGAAAAGCCCCUAAAUGAAGAUAAUUAAUUCAAUGACAUUACAUUUUUGUGAGUAAAUCACUGAAUAGGCAUUAUAAAAACACUGGGUCAGUGAUGAAAUGCUUAUAUUUUUAAUAGAUAAAUACACUAAAUUAAUGUGUUAAAUUGGCAGCCCUAAAUAAACGAUUAAAUAAACGCAUCAAACAGGACACAAUCUGAAUUCUGUUUUCCACUUUAUUUCUGUAUGAUCAGUUCAAUCCAUUUUAACCAUUCAAUCCUUUAAUGUCAAAAUUUCUGUCAUAAUACAUAUAGCAGGUAUUCAUAAGCUAUAUUUGCUGCCAGAGUGAUGCUUUGAAAUGCAAAUGAGCUUGAGAUCGGCACAAACAGACACCAACGCCUCGACCUCUCUCACCCUGGACCAGCAGUGAUAAAGCUUAAAUGCUCUGAAGCAAUACAAUACCAUUGUAAAGCUACUUUUUGUAAGGUUGUAAUAUGGAGGAUGCUCUUGAAGGAUGUACAUGACAUUUCAGUUUUGAAUGUUGUGAUGAUGUGUAAACAUGUUGGACAGACUACUGGAUCAACCAAGGUUGAACAGAUAUAUAAAUAAAUAUACAACAAUGUUUUCUACAAGUCAUUUCAUGUUCAAUACUGUUAAAAACACAAAAUAAUAAAGAACGUAUAAAAAAGUGAAAUACAAAAGCAGAUUGCUC
rnacentral:lncRNA from 1 species